rnacentral:lncRNA from 1 species
ACUGUGAUCACUUAACACAAAGUUCUCAGCUGGUUGAAUAAAAUAUUAUACACAGGAGUAGAAAUGAGUUCAUAAUUAUUAGCACAGAAAGUUGUCUUAAUCAAAUGAACCUCUUUGUCAAGCAAAUUGUCUUCUUUCUGUGUGUUCUUUGGCAGGAAACAUAGUCUCUCUAAAGAGGGAAAAUAAUCCUGAAUCCACCUCUGGUCUUUGAAAAUCCCUCACAUUAAUAAGAAUAGUGGCCACAAACUCUGACUCUCAGGAUAUGGACAAAUGGCUUUCAACUGACAAAAUUUUAAAACAGGUUCCACAUUGUUAUAUAAUUAGGAGAUUCACUACAUUAUAUAACACGGAGUCAGAGAUUUGUUUAAUCUACCAUUUGUUCUCUGCCACAUAUAAGAUCAUACUCCUUAAGAAAAAAAAAAAAUAAGAAACAAGAGAAGAAAACAGAGAAGGUAAGGAAUAACACUGAAUGAAAUUUCUUUAAUGCUAAUUUUGA